AGAGUUUGAUCCUGGCUCAGGACGAACGCUGGCGGCGUGCCUAACACAUGCAAGUCGAGCGAUGAAGUUUCCUUCGGGAAAUGGAUUAGCGGCGGACGGGUGAGUAACACGUGGGUAACCUGCCUUAUAGUGGGGGAUAGCCUUCCGAAAGGAAGAUUAAUACCGCAUAAGAUUGUAGUAUCGCAUGAUAUAGCAAUUAAANGGAGCAAUCCGCUAUAAGAUGGACCCGCGUCGCAUUAGCUAGUUGGUGAGGUAAUGGCUCACCAAGGCGACGAUGCGUAGCCGACCUGAGAGGGUGAUCGGCCACAUUGGGACUGAGACACGGCCCAGACUCCUACGGGAGGCAGCAGUGGGGAAUAUUGCACAAUGGGCGAAAGCCUGAUGCAGCAACGCCGCGUGAGUGAUGACGGCCUUCGGGUUGUAAAACUCUGUCUUCAGGGACGAUAAUGACGGUACCUGAGGAGGAAGCCACGGCUAACUACGU
rnacentral:rRNA from 1 species